UACGGGAGUGGCAAGCGUUAUCCGGAAUUAUUGGGCGUAAAGCGUCCGCAGGCGGCCCAGCAAGUCUGUUGUUAAAAAGUGGAGCUUAACUCCAUCCAGGCAAUGGAAACUGCUGGGCUAGAGUGUGGUAGGGGCAGAGGGAAUUCCCGGUGUAGCGGUGAAAUGCGUAGAUAUCGGGAAGAACACCAGUGGCGAAGGCGCUCUGCUGGGCCAUAACUGACGCUCAUGGACGAAAGCCAGGGGAGCGAAAGGGAUUAGAUACCCCUGUAGUCCUGGCCGUAAACGAUGAACACUAGGUGUCGGGGGAAUCGACCCCCUCGGUGUCGUAGCCAACGCGUUAAGUGUUCCGCCUGGGGAGUACGCACGCAAGUGUGAA
rnacentral:rRNA from 1 species